rnacentral:rRNA from 1 species
GAUGAACGCUGGCGGCGUGCCUAAUACAUGCAAGUCGAGCGAACAGACGAGGAGCUUGCUCCUCUGACGUUAGCGGCGGACGGGUGAGUAACACGUGGAUAACCUACCUAUAAGACUGGGAUAACUUCGGGAAACCGGAGCUAAUACCGGAUAAUAUAUUGAACCGCAUGGUUCAAUAGUGAAAGACGGUUUUGCUAUCACUUAUAGAUGGAUCCGCGCCGCAUUAGCUAGUUGGUAAGGUAACGGCUUACCAAGGCAACGAUGCGUAGCCGACCUGAGAGGGUGAUAGGCCACACUGGAACUGAGACACGGUCCAGACUACUAAGGGAGGCAGCAGUAGGGAAUCUUCCGCAAUGGGCGAAAGCCUGACGGAGCAACGCCGCGUGAGUGAUGAAGGUCUUCGGAUCGUAAAACUCUGUUAUUAGGUAAGAACAAAUGUGUAAGUAACUAUGCACGUCUUGACGGUACCUAAUCAGAAAGCCCCGGCUAACUACGUG